rnacentral:rRNA from 1 species
UACGUAGGGUGCAAGCGUUAAUCGGAAUUACUGGGCGUAAAGCGUGCGCAGGCGGUUUUGUAAGUCUGACGUGAAAGCCCCGGGCUCAACCUGGGAAUUGCGAUGGAGACUGCAAGGCUUGAAUCUGGCAGAGGGGGGUAGAAUUCCACGUGUAGCAGUGAAAUGCGUAGAGAUGUGGAGGAACACCGAUGGCGAAGGCAGCCCCCUGGGUCAAGAUUGACGCUCAUGCACGAAAGCAUGGGGAGCAAACAGG